GAAAAUCUUAUGGAUUGGACUACUCUUUCUUCAUGACUGAAAUUUUCAGCAAGACUUCUGCAUUGUUGCAAUUCUCUCAUGACACAUUGCCAUGUUCCUUGCAGCACGGCAUUUAGCAUUUCUUGCAGAGGAAGCAAUUAUAAAUCACACAGGAGGCUGAUAGACAAGGAAUGAAUUUCUCCACCCCACAAAAGUCUAAGCAGACAGUGCUGUGAAGAGACAAAACAGAAUUUCACAUCUUGAGCUAAAUACUGCAAGAUUUGGGACAGAAUCAGAAGACCCAGAAAAAGUUUCUGUUUUUAUGGAAAUCAAAAUUGUGGUAACAAGAAUUCUUCUGGAAAUGUGGUCCUUUCAUUACUCUUGUAAGAUAAACAGAAAAGACAUGCAUCCAAAAAAAUGAAUUGAUCUUCAACAUAUGCCCUUUGAAGUUAUUGUGAUGAACUAGUAAUAGAGUUCCUCACAGAGAAUCUACUUUUGAUCAGCAGUAGUAUAUGUCAGGGAUUUGUCCUCAAAAACAGAUUCCACCAUAGAACACCUGUCCAGACCCUUCUAUGAAUAUAU